UACGUAGGGUGCGAGCGUUGUCCGGAAUUAUUGGGCGUAAAGAGCUCGUAGGCGGUGUGUCACGUCGGCCGUGAAAACCUGGGGCUUAACUCUGGGCGUGCGGUCGAUACGGGCAUCACUAGAGUUCGGCAGGGGAGAUCGGAAUUCCUGGUGUAGCGGUGAAAUGCGCAGAUAUCAGGAGGAACACCGGUGGCGAAGGCGGAUCUCUGGGCCAUUACUGACGCUGAGGAGCGAAAGCGUGGGGAGCGAACAGG
rnacentral:rRNA from 1 species